rnacentral:lncRNA from 1 species
UCUCAAGUAAAUCUGGACGUUGGUAUGUAGGGCUUAUAUUUUAUUAUGAAUGAUUGAUGGCACAAAUGAGCUUGUCGCCUAGUGGUGGUGGCGUGGCAUGAUUAUUGUGAGAGCAAGGGUUCGAAUCCCAUGGCAAGCAAGGAGCAACUAUUUUGCUAUCAGGGGACGGCAAGAGUUAGUGUUGGAUUGGAACUCUGGUGAUGGAGAGUUUGAAUUGGUCUUAUGGUUGGUUGUGGAGGAGUUUGAG